CGAACCCUCAAGCACGGCUUGUGUGUUGGGCCGCCGUCCCCCCGUUGCAGGGGGGGGGGACGGGCCUGAAAGGCAGCGGCGGCGUCGCGUCCGGUCCUCGAGCGUAUGGGGCUCUGUCACGCGCUCAAGGAGGGGUCCGGCCGGGGCCAUAGCCUCAAAGGUCAGACUUUUUUCCAA
rnacentral:misc_RNA from 1 species